rnacentral:lncRNA from 1 species
UACCGAAGUUAUAACUACUUAAAUUACUAACGGACAAAGGUUCUUCUGUGGAUCAAAAUGUCACAUAAUUAAUAAAUGAAAGAGGCUAACGAAAGUGCCUUGACUUCUGUGUUCAUUUCAUUCUGCGUGCUUGGACCUAGCCCAAUAAGAGGCCCAACGGUCACAUUCCUGGAACCCAUGCAAAAGGAGCCGCUCUAAAGGGAGUAUGUACAAGCUUAAUGUAAAUGGGAGUGUGGGGAUCGAACCCAAGCAACCACAUAUAAAAUUUUUCAACUAAAAAAGUACAUUGAUGGAUGACUUCCAAUUCUUUAGAUUUCCAAUCUUUUUUUUUUUUGUAAUUAAGCUUUUUACAUUAAUUACCAAUGAAGUUGCAUUACAAAACCACAGUCGGGUGUCAACUUAGCCGACUGUCUAAUGACUAACAUAAUAACUAUUUUCCAGUCCUAACUAUCUAGGUUCUACUAUAUACUAAGAUGCUGUAAUAGUUGUCUAAUUUUAGGGGUGCCUCUAAUGUUACAGUUGUACACUAUGUCUCUCAGUAUAGCAGUAUUACAUCGAAAAGUCUUGUUGAAAACUCUUGCAUUCCUCUCCAGCCAGAUAGCAUAUGUAACUCCAGCAGCAACCAUCUUGAAAAUGGCUGCGCGACAUGUUCGUCCUUUGGC